CUACCAUGCAGUCGAGCGGAACGAUCCUAGCUUGCUAGGAGGCGUCGAGCGGCGGAUGGGUGAGUAAUGCAUAGGAAUCUGCCCGGUAGUGGGGGAUAACCUGGGGAAACUCAGGCUAAUACCGCAUACGCCCUACGGGGGAAAGCAGGGGAUCUUCGGACCUUGCGCUAUCGGAUGAGCCUAUGUCGGAUUAGCUUGUUGGUGAGGUAAUGGCUCACCAAGGCGACGAUCCGUAGCUGGUCUGAGAGGAUGAUCAGCCACAUCGGGACUGAGACACGGCCCGAACUCCUACGGGAGGCAGCAGUGGGGAAUAUUGGACAAUGGGCGAAAGCCUGAUCCAGCCAUGCCGCGUGUGUGAAGAAGGCUUUCGGGUUGUAAAGCACUUUCAGUGAGGAAGAAAGCCUUGGGGCCAAUACCCCCAAGGGACGACAUCACUCACAGAAGAAGCACCGGCUAACUCCGUGCCAGCAGCCGCGGUAAUACGGAGGGUGCGAGCGUUAAUCGGAAUUACUGGGCGUAAAGCGCGCGUAGGUGGCUUGAUAAGCCGGUUGUGAAAGCCCCGGGCUCAACCUGGGAACGGCAUCCGGAACUGUCAGGCUAGAGUGCAGGAGAGGAAGGUAGAAUUCCCGGUGUAGCGGUGAAAUGCGUAGAGAUCGGGAGGAAUACCAGUGGCGAAGGCGGCCUUCUGGACUGACACUGACACUGAGGUGCGAAAGCGUGGGUAGCAAACAGGAUUAGAUACCCUGGUAGUCCACGCCGUAAACGAUGUCGACUAGCCG
rnacentral:rRNA from 1 species